UAAUCUGGCCCGGUUUGGUUGCCUACCUGAUCGACAAAUCGAAGCACGGAAACAUAUGUUGUAAUAGUAAUUUUCUUGCCGAUAUGAUGAUAACAUGACUAUAGAUUAAGGAAAUAAAAGGACUAUAUUCAUAAACAUAUAUUGAUUAACAUUUUACACAAUUCCUAUAUACGAGUUUAUAUGUGUCAAGUUGACGUAAACUUGCGUGUUUACAAAGCCUCUCCCUUUAUGCAAUUUCUU